GAUGAAGAACGCAGCGAAAUGCGAUAAGUAAUGUGAAUUGCAGAAUUCAGUGAAUCAUCGAAUCUUUGAACGCACAUUGCGCCCCUUGGUAUUCCGGGGGGCAUGCCUGUUCGAGCGUCAUUAUAACCCCUCAAGCUCAGCUUGGUGUUGGGGCCUGCUGCACUGGCAGCCCUUAAAAUCAGUGGCGGCGCCAUCUGGCUCUAAGCGUAGUAAUUCUUCUCGCUAUGGAGUCCUGGUGGAUGCUUGCCAUCAACCCCCAAUUUUUCUAUGGUUGACCUCGGAUCAGGUAGGGAUACCCGCUGAACUUAAGCAUACAAUAAGCGGAGGA
rnacentral:misc_RNA from 1 species